rnacentral:lncRNA from 1 species
GUUGCAAUUAAAUUUGAAGGAAUUUGCUUAAUAAGCCUGGUAUCCAUUUGGUUGUAAAUGUUGCGACUAAAUCAUGGUCAGUUUGGUCACUGAUGUGAAAUAGUCUGGAUUUAUCUUGUCUUCUGUGUGCUGUAUGCAAAUCAGUCUUUACUGAUUGAAGAGAUAAAUUGAUAAUGUAUUAUUACAUCAGCUAUCUUGAUGUGGUUAAAUACAUUUAAUUUAAGCAAGGUUAAUGGCAGAU